AUUGAACGCUGGCGGCAGGCCUAACACAUGCAAGUCGAACGAGUGGCGGACGGGUGAGUAAUGUCUGGGAAACUACCUGAUGGAGGGGGAUAACUACUGGAAACGGUAGCUAAUACCGCAUACCAUCAGAUGUGCCCAGAUGGGAUUAGCUAGUUGGUGGGGUAACGGCUCACCAAGGCGACGAUCCCUAGCUGGUCUGAGAGGAUGACCGCCCACAUGGGAACUGAGACACGGUCCAGCCUCCAACGGGGGGCAGCAGUGGGGAAUAUUGGAAAAUGGGGACAAGCCGGAUGCAGCCAUGCCGCGUGUAUGAAGAGGGCCUUCGGGUUGUAAAGUACUUUCAGCGGGAAGGCGUUACCCGCAGAAGAAGCCCCGGCUAACUCCGUGCCAGCAGCCGCGGUAAUAC
rnacentral:rRNA from 1 species